GUGCCUUUAUAUUAAGAAUUUGAGGGAAGGCCGGUUCAUUUUGCUUCCACCCACCACUAACCUAUCUCGCCCCUUUUCGAUCCUAUUCUUCGGCGAAGGUGGUGUCCUUCCCUGCUCUUCGCUUCCUAGUUUUCUCUCUUGCAUACAGUUCAUUUCUGGGCCCAAACUUUUAAAUGGGGUGUCAGCAUUGCAAGAUAUUGCUGAUUUCCCGAAGCCACCUGAAAAGAUCUCUUAUCCUCAUCAAGCUGAAGAACUAGAACCUUGUUAGUGUAAUUCUCACGACGGCUGGAAUCGGGCUUUAUCAACUUACUUGCAAAAUACGGGAAUAUUACUUCAAUGAGGCACAAGAGGCACCUGUCCAAGAAUGAUCAGCCAGGUAUCUUCGAUGUUGAAGGAAUAAAUUGCUCAUUUGACCAUGAUGUAAGCUAACAGUUCUAGUCUUCCAAUCAUCGUGCUUAAAUGUGCAAGCAGGGAAACUACUAUGAAAAUAAGGUAUUGCUGAAUGCUGUGAAAACGCAUAAAGGAAACAUGUCGUGGUUUCUCUUUUUAUGAA